GUAGGUGAACCUGCGGAAGGAUCAUUAACACGUAUCCACGUAUCCACCAACGAGAUGUACGUUUUCAACGCUCUCCGUCGGAUUAAUGAACUGAGCUUUCGUAUUGUCAUUGAGAGGGAUAGCUUCGGCGUCAGACUUUACUCGCGAACUUGCAUCGGCGCAGCUUUUUGGUAGCGUCGGUGCAGACAGUUGUAUAAUUCGGCGGAUUCACGCUCACUAUGUUCGGGUCUCCUUUCAUUGACUUUUUCUGUGAGCAACAAUUUACCCAUAUCACCCCCUUUUUGCUAGUUGACUUUUAUCUGUUGCACUGCGUGUUUCGGCACGUGUGCACACGUUUGAUUAUUUGAACGUUAAAAAUACAACUCUUAGCAAUGGAUAUCUAGGUUCUC
rnacentral:misc_RNA from 1 species